rnacentral:rRNA from 1 species
AGAGUUUGAUCAUGGCUCAGAACGAACGCUGGCGGCGUGGAUAAGACAUGCAAGUCGAACGCUGAUUUGUGGGUAGCAAUAUUCGCAAGUCGGAGUGGCGCAAGGGUGUGUAACACGUGGGUAAUCUGCCAUGAAGUCUGGGAUAACUUGCUGAAAGGCGAGCUAAUACCGGAUGUGAAUGUAAAUUCAAAGUUGGGGACCGUAAGGCCUGACGCUUCAUGAUGAGCCCGCGGCCUAUCAGCUAGUUGGUGAGGUAACGGCUCACCAAGGCUAAGACGGGUAGCUGGUCUGAGAGGACGACCAGCCACACUGGAACUGAGACACGGUCCAGACACCUACGGGUGGCAGCAGUCGAGAAUUUUUCUCAAUGGGCGAAAGCCUGAAGGAGCGACGCCGCGUGGGGGAUGAAUGGCUUCGGCCCGUAAACCCCUGUCAUUUGUGAACAAAUUGUUUCACCUAACACGUGAAAUAUUAAUUGUAACGGAAGAGGAAGGGACGGCUAACUCUGUGCCAGCAGCCGCGGUAAUACAGAGGUCCCAAGCGUUGUUCGGAUUCACUGGGCGUAAAGGGUGCGUAGGCGGCCAAGUAAGUUUGAUGUGAAAUCCCGCAGCUCAACUGCGGAACUGCAUUGAAUACUAUUUGGCUCGAGGAAUGGAGGGGAGACUGGAAUUCUCGGUGUAGCAGUGAAAUGCGUAGAUAUCGAGAGGAACACCAGUGGCGAAGGCGAGUCUCUGGACAUUUCCUGACGCUCAGGCACGAAAGCCAGGGGAGCAAACGGGAUUAGAUACCCNNGUAGUCC